UUUUUUCUCAAAUAACUGUUUUAAGAAGCUGUUACCAAGUCUUAAAACAAAAACAGAAAUUAAAUUGAUACACUCGAAAACCACACAAGAGGGCUUCUUUUAAACAUUACAUCAGACUCAGUCUUUGUUUUAUUGGAACUUACCAAAAGCACUCAAAAGCAUGAGCACCAUCGGCUAGGAGUCUUUAGAUUCCCCUUUUAGCACAAUCUCUAGGAAUUACGAUUUGAUACACCUCUUACUUGGCCUCGACCACCAUAUCCAUAGUCGCCGCCGCCGCCACCACCACGAGGUCCACUAUAACCGCCACAUGAAUGAACGUUACCGCAGAAAGCUUCUCUCAUUUGCCAAAACUCUAGCAUUUUCAUCACCCGUAUUCAUCUCAAUAAAGUUCGUCCAUGCAAAAUUCUUACGUCCAUUUAAUUAUGCUUACAUGGACAUGCUUCUUUUAAUGGAUUCUUAUAAACAAAUUUCCAAUUUCAACAAAGCUAUUUACAAUGGGCGUGAAAUCUUGCAACCUGCGAGAGUGAAAGAGGAGAUCAGAGCAAUAAUUAAGGAAAUACAAUCUCACAACAUCCAUUUAGAAGAAUUUCUCUCCAGAUUCAUACAAUAAACAUACAUAUAGCUCAAUUUCUCUCCAGAUUCAUCAAUUCCACUGCAGAUUUUAGAGAUUUAAAGUGAACUGAUCCAAAUAUUUCCAGAUUCAAAGGAAGAAAAAGAGAGAUUGAAGAAUCUAGAUGACAACCCCAGAAAUCCAGAUUUGAGGAAUCCAGAUGACAAUGUCGGAACCAGAAAAAGAGCGCUCGAGGAAUUCUUUGGAAACCAAGAAUCCUAGGGAAAUAAAACAACAUUCUCGCUCAAUGACAAAAGAGAGAUUACUGUUUUUGAACCCUUAAACUAAUGCCAAAAUGAUCUCCUCUUCUUCUCUUUAGCUGCUUAUAGAGACCGGGCGCUUGGUAAUGAGUUUCACUGCAUUGGUAAUGAGUUUCAAAUAUUAUUUUUAACAUUACAAGUAGAGAGAUCUAGGAUAUAAAUGAUUUACUAUCCAUCGGGAUUGUACUAUAUGGUUACGAAACAGCAUCAAAUGAUUUAGCGUCCACGCAAACAUGAACAUGUGGAUAUCCCAUCCUCUUAUAAACACUUUUGCAGUUUUUCGGUGUAUCAUUUCAAUAGUUUAAAAUGAUUUAAUGUCCAUAGGGAUUGUACUAUGUGGUUAUGAAUCAGUUCCAAAUGAUUUUGUAUCUUUGUAAUUUAGCUUUUCGUGUGACUCAGCUAAUCAAUCCUUCUUUCGUGCGUUGUAUCAAAACUUCAAGCAGCUUAGGAUCCAAAAACUUCAAGCAGCUUAGGAUAGACACUUGGUUUACAGUGUUGCAACAAAGCUCUGCCUAGGUUCUACUCUACCUGUCACCUAGAUUACAUAGCAAAACAUAACCAGCCAUAUCAAAGGUUAAUACUUUCAACUAAAAAACUACAGUUCGAAGAUAAUCCAGUAGAUACCAUAAGAGAGAUUCAGGUGAGAUGAUUUGCAACUGAUUUAUGUAUAUACCAUAAGAGAGAUGCAGAGUCAACACAAACAAGCUACACAAAGUAGUAACAAUAAAGAGUUAUAAGCGUUUAAGUAUAGCAAACAAACAAAACAGGAGAUAGCAAUACUGUAGGACAACUAGUUAGCAACUAAAAGGAGUAAAAACUUUUAAAGAUCAAGACCUUGAUAUCCUCACAAAGUCACAAACAUUCACAAAUUCGAAAUCCAAAUUUUGAGGUUUCAAGGGAAGAGAUAACUCGCGUAAUUGUAGACUUAGAAAUCAUCAAUGAAAAACGUGACACUUCCCAAAUCAAAGGUCAAAGCUUCAUCUAACCGAUGAACAAUCGCCUCAAAUUCCAAAAUCCAUCUCAAAUACAUAAAAAUAAGGUGAAGAUCAACAGGGUAUCGUCUUCCUUUUUUUUGUUUUAUUAUAGCCACAGUUUUACUUGCGUUGAAUAAUUCCGUUUAUCUAAAAGACAAGAAAUCAAACGACAACAUCAAUUACAUAUCCACUGCAUAUGCCAUGGAAUCAUCGAUUACAUAUCCUUCGGUUUGUUGCAUUUUUCCCAAUCGAACUUCAAGCAAAAACAAAAUCGAAACAAUCAAAUGUUGUAUGGGAAAGGAAUAAGAUCUGGAAAAACAAUGAAGCAAGAGAAUUACUUUUUAGGGUUGAGAAACAUAAUAGCUGGUUGACUUUUUAGCUGUGGCACAGAAGAAAUUGAAGAGACAACCCAUGGCUUCGAUGAAAUCGGAAGAGAGAAAAAGGAACAGCAAUGGAAGAAGCUACUGAGAUUUUCCGAGAAAGAUAGGAAAAGUCGAGAGUGAAAGAAUUGGUGGGUAUGAGUCAAUUGUUUUCAAAUUUGAAAUUAUCUGAUGGAAAUCACGGUAAUGAGAUAAGUCCAGAAAUGG
rnacentral:lncRNA from 1 species